rnacentral:rRNA from 1 species
AGUGAACGCUGGCGGUAGGCCUAACACAUGCAAGUCGAACGGCAGCACAGUAAGAGCUUGCUCUUACGGGUGGCGAGUGGCGGACGGGUGAGGCAUACAUCGGAAUCUACUUUUUCGUGGGGGAUAACGUAGGGAAACUUACGCUAAUACCGCAUACGACCUACGGGUGAAAGCAGGGGAUCUUCGGACCUUGCGCGAUUGAAUGAGCCGAUGUCGGAUUAGCUAGUUGGCGGGGUAAAGGCCCACCAAGGCGACGAUCCGUAGCUGGUCUGAGAGGAUGAUCAGCCACACUGGAACUGAGACACGGUCCAGACUCCUACGGGAGGCAGCAGUGGGGAAUCUUGGACAAUGGGCGCAAGCCUGAUCCAGCCAUACCGCGUGGGUGAAGAAGGCCUUCGGGUUGUAAAGCCCUUUUGUUGGGAAAGAAAAGCAGCAGGUUAAUACCCCGCUGUUCUGACGGUACCCAAAGAAUAAGCACCGGCUAACUUCGUG